rnacentral:lncRNA from 1 species
GGUGGCUAGAAUCUUCAUUUUCUCCGAAGAGAUGUGCUCCAAUCUUUGGUGCCAUGUUCUGAAAUUUAUGACUGAAUUAGCUAAGAAAAAGUGGGGUGUGAAAAAAUAGAGUCAUCACUUGAUUCACCCUUGCCAAUCACUUUCCCGGAUUUAUUUUCCUGAAAUUUAAAACAAUGAUCAUCAAAAACUACUUUAAUGUCAUUAUCUAAGGUUAAUUUGCUUAUAGCUAUUAGAUUAACCUUAAAUUCAGGAAUUUAUAAAACGUUUUUAAGUAUUAAAUCUUCUGAGAUUUUAAUACAUCCAAUCCCUUGAACUAUUAGUGUUUUUCCACUAGGUAUAGUUACAAAAUGGUUAUGUUCUUGAAUUAGAGGUUUUGUGAAUAAAUGAAGACUACCAGUCAUGUGUUGUGAUGCACCCGAGUUUACUAUCCAUUUAUCAAUAUAUGAAUUAAUAUUGAAUGAAAAAGAAGAAAUUUUACCAGAAUUGUUGUUUGUUUUGGUUGAGGAGACUAGCUCUUUAAAAAACUGGAUUUCUUCUUGAGUUAGCAUGAGUUGUUGUUGGUUGCUAGUAGAAGCUACUUGAUUGGCUACAUCAUUAUCUGUGGUAGUGCCUUGGGUUUUCUUUCCUUGAGACUUUUUCUGAAAUUUUUCUUUUGGCCUGCCAACUAGGUGAUAGCAUUUAUCUCUUGUGUGACCAUAAUACUUGCAAUUGUCACAAUAAAACCUAGUAUCUAAUUUUUUUCCACUUUUAGAAUACAUGAUUUUUGACUUAUCCGUUGUAUUCUUAUCUUUAGUAUUUUGGCCAUAGAAAGCUGAUUCAACUUUUUCAUUUGUGUGCUCUCUAAACUUGAAUUUCUGUUUUUCCUCUUGUAUGACUAACCCAAGGAUUUUAUUCAUAUUGGGCAGUUUUUCUAGUGAUAGAAUCUGAGUUCUUAGAUUAAAAAAACUCUCAUUCAGGCCUAGUAAGAAUUGGUGAAUCAUGUCACUCUCUUCCUUUUGUAGAUAUAGCUUUUUGCAUGUUUUGCAAAAUUCUUCUUUUAUCUCAUCAAUUUGGACUAAUUGGUCCCAAAUUGAUCUGAAUUUAUCAUAAAAUUCAGAAGCGGACAGUGAACCUUGUUGCAAAUAACACAAUUCAUAUUUGAUUUGAUUAACCUUAGGGGCAUUUCCUUGUUUAUAUCUACUUUCUAGAUCUAACCAAACUUGGUAAGCAUCACAUGUAUACAUUAGUGUGGACUGAAUUUGAGGAGAAACAGAAUUCAGAAUCUAAGCUAACACUAAGCCAUUCACAAUUUUCCAGAUAUUGUAUUCCCUACUAUCAAUGUCAUCCGGCAUUCUAAUCUGUCCAUUAAUGAAGGGUUCUUUUCUUCAUGAUACUAAUGAGACUUUCGUCCCAUUAGACCAAGUGAUAUAAUUGGUUUCUCCAACCAAUCUCUCAGGUACGAAUAUAGCCCCCGGGUGAUCACCAGAGGUCAGAAAAAAAGGAGACUCUGGGUCUUGAAGUGGAGAAACGUACCUCUCUGUUUUGUGCCUUUUAAAAAUUGAAUUAUAUAAACCUUUAUCAAAAUUAUUUGUUCUUGAUUUUCCAGUAGAACCUGAUGACGAUUGAUGUGAGGCUGCCGGAGUCUGAAUUGGAUUGCUGGGACGAGCAACGGAAGCUGCAGGAUUGUCAGCCGGAAUAAUCGCGGAAGCUGCUGGCCUGUUGGCCUGAGAAUAGUUGCCAGGUGGGUUGACCAAUGAUACCAUGAUGAUUUCUAGAGGGGAAGAUGCGCCGGCGAGAAUGUGGGUUCGUUGGGAGUCCGGAGAGCCACUGGAAGCACUUAUUUGGCCGAUUCUCUUCUAGGGUUUUCCGCCCAAGCAUUUUGGGAAAAACCGAUUUACCGGUCAGUGAGGAGGAAGAAGAACGAAUGGGAGAAAGGGAAAAUUGUAAAAGAAAUUUCAAGUUUUGACUUUCAAUUAAUCA